UGUAUUUGUGUCGUCAUUACAGAUUGGAUUUUGUAUGUAGUGAUGAGAAGUGCGACUGUGUGCACGUUUCCCCCCGCAAAAAAUGGCAGAACGAUUUGUACGGUAAGAUAUCGCUUGGGCUCCUCCCUUCCGACGUGUCGGAAGCCGGUGUUGCUCGAAGGGU